ACGUUAGCGGCGGACGGGUGAGUAACACGUGGGUAACCUACCUAUAAGACUGGGAUAACUUCGGGAAACCGGAGCUAAUACCGGAUAAUAUUUCGAACCGCAUGGUUCGAUAGUGAAAGAUGGUUUUGCUAUCACUUAUAGAUGGACCCGCGCCGUAUUAGCUAGUUGGUAAGGUAACGGCUUACCAAGGCGACGAUACGUAGCCGACCUGAGAGGGUGAUCGGCCACACUGUAACUGAGACACGGUCCAGACUCCGUACGGGAGGCAGCAGGC
rnacentral:rRNA from 1 species